GCGCGCACAGGUGCUGCAUGGCUGUCGUCAGCUCGUGCCGUGAGGUGUUAGGUUAAGUCCUGUAACGAGCGCAACCCCUGCCCCUAGUUACACGUGUCUAGGGGGACCGCCUGGGCAACUGGGAGGAAGGUGGGGAUGACGUCAAGUCAGCAUGGCCUGGAUGUCCUGGGCGACACACACGCUACAAUGGCCGGUACAAUGGGCAGCCAACCCGCGAGGGGGAGCCAAUCCCAUCAAAGCCGGUCUCAGUUGGGAUUGGGGGCUGCAACCCGCCCCCAUGAACGCGGAGUUGCUAGUAACCGCGCAUCAGCCAUGGUGCGGUGAAUACGUUCCCGGGCCUUGUACACACCGCCCGUCACGUCAUGGGAGCUGGCAACACCUGAAGCCGGUGGGCCAACCGCAAGGAGGCAGCCGUCGAGGGCGGGGCCGGUGACUGGGACGAAGUCGUAACAAGGUAGCC
rnacentral:rRNA from 1 species